UCGUUAAUUGAUUUUGAGAUGCUUGCAUCGAAGAUGAUUUUAACUAUAAAGUGAGUGGCGAACGGGUGAGUAACACGUGGGUAACCUGCCCAGAAGUGGGGGAUAACACCUGGAAACAGAUGCUAAUACCGCAUAACAAAAUUAACCGCAUGGUUGAUUUUUAAAAGAUGGCUUCGGCUAUCACUUCUGGAUGGACCCGCGGCGUAUUAGCUAGUUGGUGAGAUAAAGGCUCACCAAGGCAGUGAUACGUAGCCGACCUGAGAGGGUAAUCGGCCACAUUGGGACUGAGACACGGCCCAGACUCCUACGGGAGGCAGCAGUAGGGAAUCUUCCACAAUGGACGCAAGUCUGAUGGAGCAACGCCGCGUGAGUGAUGAAGGCUUUCGGGUCGUAAAACUCUGUUGUUGGAGAAGAACGUGUGUGAGAGUAACUGCUCAUGCAGUGACGGUAUCCAACCAGAAAGCCACGGCUAACUACGUGCCAGCAGCCGCGGUAAUACGUAGGUGGCAAGCGUUAUCCGGAUUUAUUGGGCGUAAAGCGAGCGCAGGCGGUCUUUUAAGUCUAAUGUGAAAGCCUUCGGCUUAACCGAAGAAGUGCAUUGGAAACUGGGAGACUUGAGUGCAGAAGAGGAGAGUGGAACUCCAUGUGUAGCGGUGAAAUGCGUAGAUAUAUGGAAGAACACCAGUGGCGAAGGCGGCUCUCUGGUCUGCAACUGACGCUGAGGCUCGAAAGCAUGGGUAGCGAACAGGAUUAGAUACCCUGGUAGUCCAUGCCGUAAA
rnacentral:rRNA from 1 species